rnacentral:pre_miRNA from 1 species
CAAAUACUCCCUCCAUCUCAAAAUUCUUGUCUUAGAUUUGUCUAUAUAUGAAUGUAUCUAGUCACAUUUUAGUAUGUAGAUACAUCCAUUUCAAGACAAACCUAAGACAAGAAUUUUGGGACGGAGGGAGUAGGAA